CAGUAGCGUAUAUUAAUGCUGCUGCAGUUAAAAGCUCGUAGUUGGAUCUAGGGUUCGGGCUGAGGGUCCGUCGCAAGGCGUGCACUCUCUGACCUGGCCUCCCUCGCGGUUUACGCCCGGUUCUCUUAACUGAGUGCCGGGUGAGACCGGAACGUUUACUUUGAAAAAUUGGAGUGUUCAAAGCAGGCGCAACAGCCUGAACAGUAGAGCAUGGAAUAAUGGAAUAGGACCUCGGUUCUAUUGCGUUGGUUUUCGGAGUCCGAGGUAAUGAUUGAGAGGGACUGACGGGGCAUUGCGUAUUGCGGUGUGAGAGGUGAAAUUCUUGGAUCGCCGCAAGACGACCGACAGCGAAAGCAUUUGCCAAGAAUGUCUUCAUUAAUCAAGAACGAAAGUUAGAGGUUCGAAGAUGAUUAGAUACCA
rnacentral:rRNA from 1 species